rnacentral:rRNA from 1 species
UACGAAGGGGGCUAGCGUUGCUCGGAAUGACUGGGCGUAAAGGGCGCGUAGGCGGUUUGCACAGUCGGGCGUGAAAUUCCAGGGCUCAACCUUGGGGCUGCGUUCGAGACGUGUGGGCUAGAGUGUGGAAGAGGAGUGUGGAAUUCCCGGUGUAGCGGUGAAAUGCGCAGAUAUCGGGAAGAACACCCGUGGCGAAGGCGGCACUCUGGGACGGUACUGACGCUGAGACGCGAAAGCGUGGGGAGCGAACAGG